UCUUGAAUACAUUGCCCUCCUCGGUCAAUAUUUAAAUUAUCUUCAAUAGUUUGAAUUACAAUAUGAAAUUCUUGAACAUCUUCGUUAUUAUUAUGUCUGUGUUUGCCAUGCUUUCAAACAUAUCUGAAGCGGCGCCUAAAGGAGUUGGAUCGGCCUUAAAAACUGGAUUACGGGUCAUAGGUGCAGCUGGCACAGCCCACGAUGUAUACGAGCACAUCAAACAUAGAAAUCAUGGCUAAAUCACUUCUACACUGAAGAUUAAUCAACAACACAAUCAAAAUGUCGACGUUGACCAAAAUACUCGCUCAAUAUUAAUAAAAAAAUAUUAUUGCAAAUUUA